CUUCAACGACCCCAGCCACAGGGGCUGUUCGGCGUUGUGGUGCUGGCCGUAGGUGGCCAGCAGUGCCUGGGCCUC
rnacentral:antisense_RNA from 1 species